rnacentral:lncRNA from 1 species
AUGAGUGGCAGGAUGACUGGCCGACCUUUUUCGCCCGGCACCGGCUCCAGGCGCAGCUGGACCUCAUUGAGAAGGACUAUGCUGACCGAGAGGCUCGAGAACUCUGGUCCCGGCUACAGAUGUAGGUACCAGAUGCUCCAGAGUGACCAAUUUCAAAACAUAACUCUCGGCCAGGCGCGGUGGCUCAGGCCUGUUAGCAGCACUUUGGGAGGCCUAGGUGGGCGGAUCACUUGAGGUCAGGAGUUUGAGACCAGCCUGGCCAACAUGGUGAAACCCCCGCCUCCACCAAAAAAUGCAAAACUAACCGUGCGGUGGUGCAUGCCUGUAAUCCCAGCUACUCGGGAGGCUGAGGCAGAAUUGCUUGAACCUGGGAGGUGGAGGCUGCAGUGAGUGGAGAUUGCACCAUUGCACUCCAGCCUGGACGACAGAAUGAGAUCCUGUCUCAAAAAGAAAAAAAAAAUCAAAAUAUAACUCUCAAAAUGUUAAAAAAGAAUGUGCAUGUCAAUCCAGAGUGAGUAUGCAUCAAAGAGACUUUAACUCAUUAAUGAAGAAACUAGGCUGGGUACGGUGGCUCACGCCUGUAAUCUUAGCACUUUGGGAGGCCUAGGUGGGCGGAUCACUUGAGGUCAGGAGUUUGAGACCAGCCUGGCCAACAUGGUGAAACCCCGUCUCCACUAAAAAUGCAAAAAUUAACCGUCCAUAGUGGUGCAUGCCUGUAAUCCCAGCUACUCGGGAGGCUGAGGCAGGAGAAUCUCUUGAAUCCGGGAGGCGGAGGGUGCAGUGAGCCGAGAUGGCGCCAUUGCACUCCAGCCUGGGUGACAGAGCGAGACUUCAUCUCAAAGAAAAAACAAACAAAACCUGCAGACAUAUCUGCGUAGUGAAAUAAAAGUGGAGAGAGUUUGUGAAGGUAGCGCAACACUGCUUCCUAUUCUGCGGAUUGAUUAACAUUGCAGCCCCGGAGGUUCUCCACUGCGUGGAGCUUCUGGACCUAAAUUAGGAGGAAAUCCUAAGUGAGACAAAGCUGGACUCCCUGAAGUCAGGUGGCCCCUAUUUCUGGGCUCGCAGGCGGUGCUGGGGCUGGACACCAGAGCGGCUCGCGAGUGGGCUUUGCCUUAUUUCCAAGAACGAGGCCGGGGCGCCCUGAGGCCGGCGGUAACGCAGCCGUUGCUCCCGUAGGUGAAGAUCCCGGAUCUGUUUUGUGGCCUAGAGAUUGUCCCCGCGUUGCUCCACGGGGAUCUCUGGUCAGGAAACGUGGCUGAGGACGACGUGGGGCCCAUUAUUUACGACCCGGCUUCCUUCUAUGGCCAUUCGGAGU